CGCUGCGGCGGCCUAAUACAUGCAAGUCGUACGGGAUUCGGUCUUUCGGGACUAAUGAGAGUGGCGGACGGGUGCGUAACGCGUAUGCAACCUACCUUAUACUGCGGGAUAGCCCGGGGAAACCCGGAUUAAUACCGCAUGGUACAUUAUUCUCGCAUGGGGGUAUUGUUAAAGAUUUAUCGGUAUAAGCUGGGCAUGCGUAGGAUUAGUUAGUUGGCGGGGUAACGGCCCACCAAGACUGUGAUCCUUAGGGGUUCUGAGAGGAAGGUCCCCCACACUGGCACUGAGAUACGGGCCAGACUCCUACGGGAGGCAGCAGUAGGGAAUAUUGGGCAAUGGGCGGAAGCCUGACCCAGCCAUGCCGCGUGCAGGAAGACGGCGUUCUGCGUUGUAAACUGCUUUUAUCAGGGAAGAAAAAGUCCAUGCGUGGAAAAUUGCCGGUACCUGGUGAAUAAGCACCGGCUAACUCCGUGCCAGCAGCCGCGGUAAUACGGAGGGUGCAAGCGUUGUCCGGAUUUAUUGGGUUUAAAGGGUGCGUAGGCGGCUAGUUAAGUCAGCGGUGAAAGUUUUCGGCUCAACCGGAAAAAUGCCGUUGAUACUGUCUGGCUUGAGUCACGGAAGGGUACAUGGAAUUGGUGGUGUAGCGGUGAAAUGCAUAGAUACCAUCAGGAACACCGAUAGCGAAGGCAUUGUACUUGCCGUGAACUGACGCUGAGGCACGAAAAGCGCGGGUAGCGAACAGGAUUAGAUACCCUGGUAGUCCGCGCCGUAAACGAUGAUCAC
rnacentral:rRNA from 1 species